GGCUCAGAUUGAACGCUGGCNGNUNNGCCUAACACAUGCAAGUCGAGCGGAAACGAGUUAUCUGAACCUUCGGGGAACGAUAACGGCGUCGAGCGGCGGACGGGUGAGUAAUGCCUAGGAAAUUGCCCUGAUGUGGGGGAUAACCAUUGGAAACGAUGGCUAAUACCGCAUAAUGCCUACGGGCCAAAGAGGGGGACCUUCGGGCCUCUCGCGUCAGGAUAUGCCUAGGUGGGAUUAGCUAGUUGGUGAGGUAAUGGCUCACCAAGGCGACGAUCCCUAGCUGGUCUGAGAGGAUGAUCAGCCACACUGGAACUGAGACACGGUCCAGACUCCUACGGGAGGCAGCAGUGGGGAAUAUUGCACAAUGGGCGCAAGCCUGAUGCAGCCAUGCCGCGUGUGUGAAGAAGGCCUUCGGGUUGUAAAGCACUUUCAGUCGUGAGGAAGGUAGUGUAGUUAAUAGCUGCAUUAUUUGACGUUAGCGACAGAAGAAGCACCGGCUAACUCCGUGCCAGCAGCCGCGGUAAUACGGAGGGUGCGAGCGUUAAUCGGAAUUACUGGGCGUAAAGCGCAUGCAGGUGGUUUGUUAAGUCAGAUGUGAAAGCCCGGGGCUCAACCUCGGAAUUGCAUUUGAAACUGGCAGACUAGAGUACUGUAGAGGGGGGUAGAAUUUCAGGUGUAGCGGUGAAAUGCGUAGAGAUCUGAAGGAAUACCGGUGGCGAAGGCGGCCCCCUGGACAGAUACUGACACUCAGAUGCGAAAGCGUGGGGAGCAAACAGGAUCAGAUACCCUGGUAGUCCACGCCGUAAACGAUGUCUACUUGGAGGUUGUGGCCUUGAGCCGUGGCUUUCGGAGCUAACGCGUUAAGUAGACCGCCUGGGGAGUACGGUCGCAAGAUUAAACUCAAAUGAAUUGACGGGGGCCCGCACANCCGGUGGAGCAUGUGGUUUANUUCGAUGCAACGCGAANAACCUUACCUACUCUUGACAUCCAGANAACUUUNCA
rnacentral:rRNA from 1 species